rnacentral:rRNA from 1 species
GAUGAACGCUGGCGGCGUGCUUAACACAUGCAAGUCGAACGGAAAGGCCACAGCUUGCUGUGGUACUCGAGUGGCGAACGGGUGAGUAACACGUGGGUGAUCUGCCCUGUACUUCGGGAUAAGCUUGGGAAACUGGGUCUAAUACCGGAUAGGAAUCACAUGUGGGUGUGUGGUUGGAAAGCUUUUGCGGUAUGGGAUGAGCUCGCGGCCUAACAGCUUGUUGGUGGGGUAAUGGCCUACCAAGGCGUCGACGGGUAGCCGGCCUGAGAGGGUGUACGGCCACAUUGGGACUGAGAUACGGCCCAGACUCCUACGGGAGGCAGCAGUGGGGAAUAUUGCACAAUGGGCGCAAGCCUGAUGCAGCGACGCCGCGUUGGGGAUGACGGCCUUCGGGUUGUAAACUCCUUUCGUCAGGGACGAAGCGAAAGUGACGGUACCUGGAUAAGAAGCACCGGCUAACUACGUG